CACAUCGACGCUCCGGUUUGGCACCUCGAUGUCGGCUCAUCGCAUCCUGGGGGUGAAGAAGCUCCCAAGGGUUGGGCUGUUCGCCCAUUAAAGCGGUACGUGAGCUGGGUUCAGAACGUCGCGAGACAGUUCGGUCCCUAUCUGCGGUGGGCGCAGGAGACUUGAGGGGAGCUGCCCUUAGUACGAGAGGACCGGGGUGGACGAACCUCCUGUGAUCCAGUUGUCACACCAGUGGCACCGCUGGGUAGCGGAGUUCGGACGGGAUAAGCGCUGAACGCAUAUAAGCGCGAAGCCCUCCCCAAGAUAAGGUCUCCCAAGCCGCAAGGCUAACAAGGGCCCUGGUAGACUACCAGGUUGAUAGGGCGGAUGUGUAAGCGUGGUAACACGCUGAGCUAACCGCUACUAAUAGCCCGUUCGGCUUGACCACAA
rnacentral:rRNA from 1 species